GCUUUACACAUGCAAGUCGGACGGCAGCACGAGUACUUGUACUUGGUGGCGAGUGGCGAACGGGUGAGUAAUAUAUUGGAACGUACCGAGUAAUGGGGGAUAACUAUCCGAAAGGAUGGCUAAUACCGCAUACGCUUUGAGAAGGAAAGCAGGGGAUCUUCGGACCUUGCGUUAUUCGAGCGGCCAAUAACUGAUUAGCUAGUUGGUGGGGUAAGGGCCCACCAAGGCUACGAUCAGUAGUGGGUCUGAGAGGAUGAUCCGCCACACUGGGACUGAGACACGGCCCAGACUCCUACGGGAGGCAGCAGUGGGGAAUUUUGGACAAUGGGCGAAAGCCUGAUCCAGCCAUGCCGCGUGUCUGAAGAAGGCCUUCGGGUUGUAAAGGACUUUUGUUAGGGAAGAAAAGGUUGAUGCUAAUAUCAUUAACUGAUGACGGUACCUAAAGAAUAAGCACCGGCUAACUACGUGCCAGCAGCCGCGGUAAUACGUAGGGUGCGAGCGUUAAUCGGAAUUACUGGGCGUAAAGCGAGCGCAGACGGUUAGUUAAGCAAGAUGUGAAAUCCCCGAGCUCAACUUGGGAACUGCGUUUUGAACUGGCUAGCUAGAGUGUGUCAGAGGGGGGUAGAAUUCCACGUGUAGCAGUGAAAUGCGUAGAGA
rnacentral:rRNA from 1 species